AGGAAAAAAAAAUGUUGGAGUUUCGUUCAGGCAAAAUGUUUUUUGAGGGUAAAAAGGUUGUCCCUGAUGCACGAAAGGGACUUAUUCGCAUAACAAGGGGCGAAGAGGGAUUAGUCCAUUUUCAGUGGCUUGAUCGUAGUCGGAAUGUUGUUGAAGAUGAUCAAAUUAUAUUCCCUGAUGAGGCGGUUUUUGAGAAGGUUAAUCAGGCAUCAGGAAGGGUUUACAUCUUGAAGUUCAAUACUGAUGAUCGGAAGUUUUUCUUUUGGAUGCAGGAGCCUAAAGCUGAAGAUGACGAGCAGUUGUGUAACUCUGUCAACUAUUAUAUAAAUCAACCAUUAGAUCUUGGUGAUGAAGAGCCUGAUGCUUCAGCUCCUUUACAAGUUUCUGAAGACAUGGUUGAAGAUGAUAUCUCAUCAAGGGAAGGUAACUUAAUUGUACCCAAUUUAGGUGCGAAAGUAAUUAGUGAUGUAAGCUCUUCAUCAGGACUGGUGAAAUUGGAAGACCUACAAAGAAUCUUGAGUGAUAUUGGGCAUGGAGGUGCAGGUAGUGCUGGAGAUCCAGAUGGAGGCUUGGGAUUAGGGGAUAUACUGAAGCCUGAUUUAAUAAUGCCAUUGAUCAACACAUUGCCAUUGGAAGAAAGACUAGCUUCAUACUUGCCUGAGGGUCAGUGGACUCCAGAGGAUAUUUUGGAGUUGCUGCAGAGCCCACCUUUCCGUCAACAAGUGGAUUCUUUUACUCAUGUACUUCAAACUGGACAGAUAGAUUUGUCUCAAUUUGGGAUAGACCCUAGUAAAUACAAGUUCACAGUUUUAUCUUUUUUAGAGGCACUUGAAGAUUCAGUUUCCAAUGUGUCUGAGGAAUCAAGGCAAGAUGAUGGGAAUUUAACAACCCAGUCGUGUGAUCGAAAUGAGCCUAUGGACGAGAGCCAUUAGCGGAGGCAGUUUCCCCCAACCUUCUGCUUGAUCUCUCACCUUUUUUUUUCAUAUAUCUCUGGCAGUUGGAAGGCAAAACGAUAACAAGAAAAAGAAAAGGUGUUCAUUUGGGCUUAAAUUUAUGAUUUAUGUGUACACAGAACAACUUUUUUUUUUUUUUUUUNNNNNNNNNAUAUCUUCAAACAUUUAGGGGAAUAUUUUUUUUGGUUCUCAAAUCAUUGUAGCCGAUGAUAUUUGAUUUUAGGAUGAUUCUUGGAACUUAAAAAGUUAUGCUUGUUGAA
rnacentral:misc_RNA from 1 species